rnacentral:rRNA from 1 species
CAAGACAACUUUACGGAGUUGACGAUUGACGGAGCGAAGCGACGUCAAAGCGUUCAUUAAAGUCGAGUUGGCUUAGGGAUACGUUCGUUGGGUAGGGGAGCGUUCUGUAAGCCUGUGAAGGUGGCCUGUGAGGGUUGCUGGAGGUAUCAGAAGUGCGAAUGCUGACAUAAGUAACGAUAAAGCGGGUGAAAAGCCCGCUCGCCGGAAGACCAAGGGUUCCUGUCCAACGUUAAUCGGGGCAGGGUGAGUCGACCCCUAAGGCGAGGCCGAAAGGCGUAGUCGAUGGGAAACGGGUUAAUAUUCCCGUACUUGGUGUUACUGCGAAGGGGGGACGGAGAAGGCUAUGUUGGCCGGGCGACGGUUGUCCCGGUUUAAGCGUGUAGGUGUGUGUUCCAGGUAAAUCCGGUUCACUUUAACACUGAGGCGUGAUGACGAGGCACUACGGUGCUGAAGCAACAAAUGCCCUGCUUCCAGGAAAAGCCUCUAAGCAUCAGGUAACAUCAAAUCGUACCCCAAACCGACACAGGUGGUCAGGUAGAGAAUACCAAGGCGCUUGAGAGAACUCGGGUGAAGGAACUAGGCAAAAUGGUGCCGUAACUUCGGGAGAAGGCACGCUGACACGUAGGUGAAGUGAUUUACUCAUGGAGCUGAAGUCAGUCGAAGAUACCAGCUGGCUGCAACUGUUUAUUAAAAACACAGCACUGUGCAAACACGAAAGUGGACGUAUACGGUGUGACGCCUGCCCGGUGCCGGAAGGUUAAUUGAUGGGGUCAGCGCAAGCGAAGCUCCUGAUCGAAGCCCCGGUAAACGGCGGCCGUAACUAUAACGGUCCUAAGGUAGCGAAAUUCCUUGUCGGGUAAGUUCCGACCUGCACGAAUGGCGUAAUGAUGGCCAGGCUGUCUCCACCCGAGACUCAGUGAAAUUGAACUCGCUGUGAAGAUGCAGUGUACCCGCGGCAAGACGGAAAGACCCCGUGAACCUUUACUAUAGCUUGACACUGAACAUUGAGCCUUGAUGUGUAG